GGCCUAUUAGCUCAGUUGGUUAGAGCGCUGUGCUAAUAACAUAAAGGUUGCAGGUUUGAUACCUUUAUGGGUCA
rnacentral:tRNA from 1 species